rnacentral:rRNA from 1 species
CAGUGCCGAACACAUGCAAGUCGAACGAAGGCUUCGGCCUUAGUGGCGCACGGGUGCGUAACGCGUGGGAAUCUGCCCUUGGGUUCGGAAUAACAGUUAGAAAUGACUGCUAAUACCGGAUGAUGACGUAAGUCCAAAGAUUUAUCGCCCAAGGAUGAGCCCGCGUAGGAUUAGCUAGUUGGUGAGGUAAAGGCUCACCAAGGCGACGAUCCUUAGCUGGUCUGAGAGGAUGAUCAGCCACACUGGGACUGAGACACGGCCCAGACUCCUACGGGAGGCAGCAGUGGGGAAUAUUGGACAAUGGGCGAAAGCCUGAUCCAGCAAUGCCGCGUGAGUGAUGAAGGCCUUAGGGUUGUAAAGCUCUUUUACCCGGGAUGAUAAUGACAGUACCGGGAGAAUAAGCCCCGGCUAACUCCGUGCCAGCAGCCGCGGUAAU